rnacentral:rRNA from 1 species
CAGUCGCCACGGGAAUACGAAGGGGGCUAGCGUUGUUCGGAAUUACUGGGCGUAAAGGGCGCGUAGGCGGCCAUUCAAGUUAGAUGUGAAAGCCCUGGGCUCAACCUAGGAAUUGCAUUUGAUACUGUUUGGCUUGAGUUCGGGAGAGGUGAGUGGAAUUCCCAGUGUAGAGGUGAAAUUCGUAGAUAUUGGGAGGAACACCGGUGGCGAAGGCGGCGACCUGGUCCUUGACUGACGCUGAGGCGCGAAAGCGUGGGGAGCAAACAGGAUUAGAUACCCGCGUAGUCCCUGUCUCUUAUAC